ensembl:lncRNA
CACAUCGCCCCUGAUAAUCCGGCACUGCUACGCAGUAAAAUCAAUUGCGCAAUAUGAUAUAGGUUGCCAUAUUGACAAAUGGGUUGAAUAUGGUAUAGUGUAUUUAUUGUGUAAGACAUGAUUGCGUUUCAUACAGAAAUGACAUAACGGAAGGGGGCGGGAGAUGGGUCAGAGAGUACGGGAGAAACCCGGGAAAAACGGGAGAGUUGGCAGGUAUGGUCUGCGUAUUAGAGCGUAUGGGAAAGUUAACGAAAAGUAACAGCCCCAUACACACAUAAUGAAAGGACUAAAGGAGACAUCAAUUAUUUUUCCCUGGACAGCCGUGAGUGUGACGACAAAGGAGAGGUCACUCCAGAGACUGUUCAGAAACCGAAACACCUCAACCAAAAACCUUUCACUUCCAGUCUCCAAACCUGUCACCUUUUUCCAUUCUGGCUGAGAGCGUUUAUAAGAAAAAUGGUAGACUGCUGAGAUAGUGGCCCUUUUGUGAGGUUGACCACAAAACUACAAUGAAUCACAUGAGGAGUAUUUCAUGAGGAGAUGAUUGUUGAUGAUUUUCAUGUGUCACAUCAUGUGACGAGUGGGAAAUCCUCCACCAUAAAAACACUGCUAAUUAUAAUACUACAGUGUCGAUUUGUUGCUGCUACAGACCCCAACUGUCCGUAUAUCCCAAUCAUUAAGGAGUGGGGUGUACCAGCCUGUUACACAGAACUACAUAAGGCAUAUCCUGGAUGGCUAGUGGGGAAGACACAGAUCAGCUGUGACGAUCUCCUACGGGCCCUUGUUAACAGCUACUGCAUGAACAGGAAUUGCAGUGAUGAUAAGCCCAAUACGUCUUGCAAUGAAACUAAUAAAAAAACAAAGACGUUGAUUUACUGCUUGAAUGAUAAUUAUUCUAUCUCCUGCCAGGAGCCCCUAGGGUUUCAAAACCCAAGGAUAUAUAUGUUAGUGAAUGAUACAGAUUUCACCCAUAACAUUCAAGGUUGUCUCAUGGACAAGGUGCCAGGUACAACAGCAUCCACCACCUGUACUAUGACCACCACCACCACGACAUCUCGUAUCAUCACAGAUAGUACACAGUCCCCAACGCCUUCCCAUGCCUCUCACACCUCAGAACAAUUUAGUGCGACAUCUGGAUAUGGUAUGCUGGUCAUACUGUUGACAUCUCUGGGUUUAAACAUAACAUUGUCAUGGUUGUUACUGAAGCAGAGAAGCCGCCACCAACAGCAACCCAUAAACCUAAGUCUAGACUAUGUUGGAGCUCCUGGAGAAGCUGAAGCAGAGUCGUUAGCGGGUGAUUCCCUGCCCUAGAACUGGCUGCCUACUCCAGUGUUCUAGAGACAUCAGUAACAGUGUUCCAGAGACGGCAGAUGGAUUACAGAGGACGGGCCUGCUGUACUCCCAACACUGUCUCCAUGAGAGACUGCCAAUCCACCAGUCUGUGACUACAGAGACUGUUACUGUCAAACACCUGCAUCAGGACACCCUCAGACCGGUCUUUGGCUAUGGACUAGAGACCUCAACAGGAGAACCAACCUCAGUCACAACAUGAGCCCCACACCAUUCCACAGACAUUGACAGACCUGCAUGUGAAGCAUGUUCAGAUACUAUGGCACAUUAGGGCCCGUUUCACACUGCCUGCGUUGAGUGUGUGUGGUGGCUGCGUUACCUGUUGAUUUUCAUGUCAGUGCCCUUGCUAACAGGUUAGAACAUGCACAAUGCUUGACUGAGAUGUGCAGUCAUAUCGAGUCGAGUUUCAGUGUGGCGACUAUUUGUUACACGUGAGAUAAGAUAAUCUCAGUAAAAAAGACAUGUUGACAUUAUACCACCAACCAACAUUAUAACUGGCGUCUUUCAUUGCAGUUUCGAGGUAUGGGCUAUAUCGCACAGACAUGACAGAAAUAUAAAUGUCCCUCUCUCACUUAUCAUG